rnacentral:misc_RNA from 2 species
AACGCACAUUGCGCCCAUUAGUAUUCUAGUGGGCAUGCCUAUUCGAGCGUCAUUUCGACCAUUAAGCCCUGUAGCUUAGCGUUGGGAGCCUACGGUUGUAGCGUAGCUCCUCAAAGUCAGUGGCGGAGUUAUGGCGUACUCUGAGCGUAGUAAAUCUUUUCUCGCUUCUGUAGUCGCCCUAGCUGCCUGCCGUAAAACCCCCUAUAUUUCUAGUGGUUGACCUCGGAUUAGGUAGGAAUACCCGCUGAACUUAA